rnacentral:lncRNA from 1 species
ACUCAAGGCCUGAUUGGUUCUUCCUAAGCAGGACACGAUCUCGUUGGCAGGGCAACCGGCCUUUAGUUGGUGGCCUUCAGUGGGUGGCUUAAGUUGGUGGCAUUUGGUUGCCUUUCCUGGGGAGAGGCGGCAGGUGCUCAGCUCUGCAGACGUGGGGGCAAGAGAAGGCCCAAGCUGCCUCGAGAAGAGCAGAGGUGCCCCAUGGGGACCAUGAUGACCGGUCGCAUGUGCCAAAGCCAGCCCCCGGCAGGGCCAGCGCAGGGUUUCUGCGGGGCCGUCCUGUGGCUCUGAUAUCUAUGAGUGGGUGGCCAGCAAAGGCACAGGCACCAGCAGAAAGGAGCAGAGAUGCCCAGAACAUGCUGUCCCCCAAUGCCAGCCCCAAGCGAGGCCAGCUUAGGGUGCGGUGGGCAGAGCCAUCCUGCAGCUCUGAGAUCCACGAAGUGGAGGUGGGAGUAGCGCCAGGCUCCACGGCGUUGGAGCUCUCACAACUUGAGCUCAAUUUUAUUCCGGAGCCAUGACCUGCAGCACAUUGGUGACCAGAAGACGCCCAAAGGCAUUGUGUGAUCAAAGCAAAAUAAAUAUGUUCUUGUUUCUGGAAUUACUAAAGCUUUGAAAAUGGACUUAUCGACCUCAAACCAAUGGGACAUAUUCCUACAUGGCCUUCUCCCCUGUUAGGGUUCCCAGGGUAUGUCUUUAAUGUCUGGUUUAAUAGAAGAAGACUUGGUUCUCCUUUCUGCUUCUAUGUUUAAUUUCUUGUGACAUCCCACGUCA